rnacentral:rRNA from 1 species
UAGGGAAUAUUGGUAAUGUGCGAAAGCGCGAACCAGCAACGCCGCGUGCACGAUGAAGGCCUUCGGGUCGUAAAGUGCUUUUAGAGAGGAUGAGGAAGGACAGUACUUUCUGAAUAAGCCUCGGCUAACUACGUGCCAGCAGCCGCGGUAAAACGUAGGAGGCUAGCGUUAUCCGGAUUUACUGGGCGUAAAGCGCAUGCAGGUGGUUUUGUAAGUUGGAUGUGAAAGCUCCUGGCUUAACUGGGAGAGGUCGUUCAAAACUACAAGACUUGAGAUUGGUAGAGGAAAAUGGAAUUCCGGGUGUAGUGGUGAAAUGCGUAGAUAUCCAGAGGAACACCAGUGGCGAAAGCGGUUUUCUGGACCAAUUCUGACACUCAGAUGCGAAAGCUAAGGUAGCAAACG